AACGAACGCUGGCGGCGUGCCUAACACAUGCAAGUCGUACGUGAACGUCUUUCGGGAUGAGUAAAGUGGCGCACGGGUGAGUAACACGUAGGUGACCUGCCUCUUGGCGGGGAAUCACCCGAAGAAAUUUUGGCUAAUGCCGCAUACGAAGCACAAAUCUUAGAGUAGUGCUUGAAAGAAUGCCUCUGCAUAUGCAUUCACUAAAAGAGGAGUCUGCGGAACAUUAGCUAGUUGGUGGGGUAAAGGCCUACCAAGGCAACGAUGUUUAUCCGGUCUGAGAGGAUGAUCGGACACACUGGAACUGAGACACGGUCCAGACUCCGACGGGAGGCAGCAGUGGGGAAUAUUGCGCAAUGGGGGAAACCCUGACGCAGCAACGCCGCGUGAGUGAGGAAGGACUUCGGUCUGUAAAGCUCUGUUAAUGAGGAAAAAUGGUAGUUGGUCUAAUAGGCCGAUUAUUUGAUGGUACUCAUAGAGGAAGCACCGGCUAACUUCGUGCCAGCCGCCGCAGUAA
rnacentral:rRNA from 1 species